AACCUUUACAAUGCACGCAAGUGUGAUGGGGGGAUCCUACGUGCUCAUGUUUAACAUGGGCUUUUGCCAAAUGUAAGGAGUUUGGCGAAUAAGGGGUGGGUAAGACUGGUGCCAGCCGCCGCGGUAACACCAGCGCCCCGAGUGGUGGUCACGUUUAUUGGGCCUAAAGCGUUCGUAGCCGGUUUGGUAAAUUCCUUGUGAAAUCGUCACGCUUAACGUGACGGCGUGCAGGGAACACUGCCAGACUAGGAACCGGGAGGAGUCAGAGGUAUGCCGUGGGGACCGGUAAAAUGGGAUAAUCCACGGUGGACCACCGAUGGCGAAGGCAUCUGACCAGAACGGAUUCGACGGUGAGGAACGAAAGCCAGGGGAGCGAACCGGAUUAGAUACCCGAGUAGUCCUGGCCGUAAACGCUGUAUGCUAGGUGUUGCCCCUCCUAUGAGGAUGGGCAGUGUCGAAAUGAAGAUGUUAAGCAUACCGCCUGGGAAGUACGGUCGCAAGACUGAAACUUUAAGGAAUUGGCGGGGGAGCAC
rnacentral:rRNA from 1 species